UUCUCCCGGAGGCGCAUGAUGUCCUCGGCCAGGUUGUCGCGCUCCACCUCGACGCGGGCUUUGUCGUUGGUUAGCUGGUCCACCUGCCGGCGCAGCUCCCGCAUCUCCUCCUCGUAGAGGUCCCCCAGGCGCGACUUGCCCUGGCCCUUGAGCUGCUCGAGCUCGGCCAGCAGGAUCUUAUUCUGCUGCUCCAGGAAGCGCACCUUGUCGAUGUAGUUGGCGAAGCGGUCAUUCAGCUCCUGCAGCUCCACCUUCUCGUUGGUGCGGGUGUUCUUGAACUCGGUGUUGAUGGCGUCGGCCAGCGAGAAGUCCACCGAGUCCUGCAGGAGCCGCACCCCGGGCACGCUGCUCCGCAGGCGCACGGCAGAGGAGCGCGUGGCAUACACGCCUCCCGGGGACGAGGCAUAGAGGCUGCGGCUGGUGCUGGGGCGCAGCGCGCUGCCCAGGCUGUAGGUGCGGGUGGACGUAGUCACGUAGCUCCGGCUGGAGCUCGGCCGGCUCGCGGUGCCCGGGCCGCCGAACAUCCUGCGGUAGGAGGACGAGGACACGGACCUGGUGGACAUGGCUGCGGAGGGUGGCGAUGGGCUGGGCGGCGGCGGUGGCGCGGACUGGCUCCCGGAGAAGAGGCGAACGAGGGCGCGACAGCAAAGCUCCCUUUGGAUGACAUAGAUUUAUUACUUAGUAGUAUAUCAUGUACUGGCUGUCCCACAUUUUGAAAUUUAAUGGACUCGUGGUGAUCAGAAUAAAAGAAGCCUUCGAUGUGAGGCCCAGGCAUUAAGUACCAUGUGUGUGAUUCACGAGCCUUGGCAUCUGAACAAUUUUUUGGAAGGAUCCAUCAGGACAACACGUCGGGGGUGUACUAGUGAAGUGAUUUUCAAAAUGUGCUACUCAGACCUGUAGCAUCAGCAUUACCGGAUA
rnacentral:antisense_RNA from 1 species